UACGUAGGGUGCGAGCGUUAAUCGGAAUUACUGGGCGUAAAGCGUGCGCAGGCGGUCCGCAAAGUCUGAUGUGAAAGCCCCCGGGCUCAACCUGGGAACUGCAUUGGAAAACUAACGGGCUCGAGUGUGGCAGAGGGGGGGUGGAAUUCCACGUGUAGCAGUGAAAUGCGUAGAGAUGUGGAGGAACACCGAUGGCGAAGGCAGCCCCCUGGGCUAACACUGACGCUCAGGCACGAAAGCGUGGGGGAGCAAACAGG
rnacentral:rRNA from 1 species